rnacentral:lncRNA from 1 species
GGCUGUCCUCCCAUGUCCUGAAGUGAGUAGAAGAUGCCCAUGACCCCACUGGGGAGGACCCCACCAGCCUGUGCUUCUCAGAUGUGCCGGGCCGCUGGCGGGCUCUGACCCAAAGAACACGCGUCUGGCAGCAGGAGGCGCCGAAGUGCACCCAGGCCGAUGGGGAAGGCGGCCCCGGGCGCCGGG